rnacentral:rRNA from 1 species
CAGUGGGGAAUUUUCCGCAAUGGGCGAAAGCCUGACGGAGCAACGUCGCGUGAGGGAGGAAGGUCUUUGGAUUGUAAACCUCUUUUCUCAAGGAAGAAGUUCUGACGGUACUUGAGGAAUCAGCCUCGGCUAACUCCGUGCCAGCAGCCGCGGUAAUACGGGGGAGGCAAGCGUUAUCCGGAAUUAUUGGGCGUAAAGCGUCCGCAGGUGGUCAGCCAAGUCUGCUGUCAAAUCAGGUUGCUUAACGACCUAAAGGCGGUGGAAACUGGCAGACUAGAGAGCAGUAGGGGUAGCAGGAAUUCCCAGUGUAGCGGUGAAAUGCGUAGAGAUUGGGAAGAACAUCGGUGGCGAAAGCGUGCUACUGGGCUGUAUCUGACACUCAGGGACGAAAGCUAGGGGAGCGAAAGGGAUUAGAUACCCCAGUAGUC